rnacentral:rRNA from 1 species
GACGAACGCUGGCGGCGUGCCUAAUACAUGCAAGUCGAGCGAAUCAAUAGGAGCUUGCUCCUGUUGGUUAGCGGCGGACGGGUGCGUAACACGUGGGCAACCUGCCUGUAAGACUGGGAUAACAUCGGGAAACCGAUGCUAAUACCGGAUAAUGCAUUCCCUCUCAUGAGGGAAUGUUGAAAGUCGGUUUCGGCUGACACUUACAGAUGGGCCCGCGGCGCAUUAGCUAGGUGGUGAGGUAACGGCUCACCAAGGCGACGAUGCGUAGCCGACCUGAGAGGGUGAUCGGCCACACUGGGACUGAGACACGGCCCAGACCCCUACGGGAGGCAGCAGUAGGGAAUCUUCCACAAUGGACGAAAGUCUGAUGGAGCAACGCCGCGUGAGCGAUGAAGGCCUUCGGGUCGUAAAGCUCUGUUGUUAGGGAAGAACAUGUACCGGAGUAACUGCCGGUACCUUGACGGUACCUAACCAGAAAGCCACGGCUAACUACGUGCCAGCAGCCGCAGUAA